rnacentral:rRNA from 1 species
CGUAGGUGGCAAGCGUUGUCCGGAAUUACUGGGCGUAAGGGCGUGUAGGCGGCCUUUAAGUCAGACGUGAAACCUGGGCUUAACCUGAGGAGUGCGUUUGAACUGGAAGGCUUGAGGAUCGGAGAGGGCGAGUGGAAUUCCCAGUGUAGCGGUGAAAUGCGUAGAUAUUGGGAGGAACACCAGUGGCGAAGGCGGCUGCCUGGACGACACCUGACGCUGAGGCGCGAAAGCUAGGGGAGCAAACGGGAUU